UGAGGAAUAUUGGUCAAUGGACGGAAGUCUGAACCAGCCAUGCCGCGUGCAGGAAUAAGGUCCUAUGGAUUGUAAACUGCUUUUAUAUGGGAAUAAACCCCUUUACGUGUAGAGGGCUGAAGGUACCAUUUGAAUAAGCACCGGCUAACUCCGUGCCAGCAGCCGCGGUAAUACGGAGGGUGCAAGCGUUAUCCGGAAUCAUUGGGUUUAAAGGGUCCGCAGGCGGCCUAAUAAGUCAGGGGUGAAAUCCCACAGCUCAACUGUGGAACUGCCUUUGAAACUAUUGGGCUUGAAUUAAGAUGGCGUUGGCGGAAUAUGACAUGUAGCGGUGAAAUGCAUAGAUAUGUCAUAGAACACCGAAAGCGAAGGCAGCUAACGAAUCUUAUAUUGACGCUCAUGGACGAAAGCGUGGGUAGCGAACGG
rnacentral:rRNA from 1 species